UGGAGCCGUGCGAUAGCGGCGAGGAGGAGACCAUGGAGACGCUGGUGGCUGCCGACUCGCUUCUCAGCAUGGACUGUGCCGACACGCUGCCGCUGGACCAGCCCUACACUCAGACCUAUUUCCAGUCGCUGGGAGACGUCGUGGCCACUCCUGUCACCCAGGUGACGGUGUCGGCGGAGGGGGUCGUGGGCGCCGUCGACCAGCGCAGGGCUCUCGCUGCACGCCGACAAGGUCCGUGACUCAGCUGCAGCCAAGAAGAGAGGUCAGGGCCAGCCGCUGCGCUCGCACAGCCUCACCUGGAGGGGAAAGCCGUGGCUCGAGUUUCACAGGAAUUAUCCGCAAAUGGCUUUCUGUGCCGCCACAGGUAGGAAGCCACGCCAUCGGAGGGCAGACUCCCCAAACUCCAAACAUCCGUGAAGAAGGACAAAUACAACAAAGGAGGAAACACGCUGUACCUGUGGCAGUUCCUGAUGGAGCUCCUGCAGGACAGGCAGGUCUGUCCGCGCUACAUCAAAUGGACCAAUCCCCACGCCGGAAUCUUCAAGCUGGUCAAUUCCAAAGCGGUGGCCAGGCUCUGGGCAAACACAAGAACAAGCCGGACAUGAACUAUGAGACGAUGGGUUCGAGCGCUCAGGUACUACUACCAGAGGGGCAUCCUGAACAAGGUGGAGGGCCAGCGCCUGGUGUACCAGUUCACCUCUCUGCCCAAAGACAUGGUUUAUAUCACCGAAGGCGAUGGCGCCCAGGCGGAGGCAGACGACAGAUGCAGUGACGACGAGGAAGCGAGCGACGACUCCGACAGUACCAUAUCCUCCAGCGACCGCUCGGUGAACGAGGAGGAGUCUCCGCCGCACAAGAAGACCUGGUCCGGCUCGUCGCGGGCUCAGCGCGGCGGGCCGGAUCCCGUGCCCCCGGUUCAGCGCGGCGCCGGCUCCAGCCUGAUCCAGGAGCAGCACCUGCCCAUCGUGUCCGCCGAGAUGCUGCGGACGCUGCAGAACCUGCAGAAGGUCCGGUCGCUGCAGCCCGCCGGCCACGCCUCCGUCUUCCAGACGGCCCAGCUGCUGGGGAGUCUGUGCGAGCGCCAGGCCGCCGCCGAGGGAGCCGGACCCGCGCAGAGUCCCAGCCCGGACAGAAAGCGUCACGGUCCGUGUCUUUAAUGACCUCCGACCCCGUGUCCAAACACUGGCCGGCUUCAGGGCUGCGCUCUGCUCGCCAGCGGAGGUUUCCAGGCUCGCAGUUCUGCUCUGAAUUGAUCUUGUUUGUGAACAGGGGUGUUUUCCAUUGAUACGGAAUGAUUGGUCUGUUUACUGUCUCAGAAAAGACGAAACACCGUUAAGUGGGCUUCAGUUUUUAUCUGCAGCCUUUCACUUUACACCAAAGACAGACAGCACUGGAAACCGCAGCCUCUGCUUCGCUGUUCCAUCCGCACACUGCCCUCCUCAGUUGCCUUUACUGUUUUAUUUUCCUCUGUUUUUGUUUGUCCUCUCACAUUUUGACUCGUUCCUUUGAAAGUGGCUUUUGCACUAAUGUUUACUCCUGCUGUACGUUUCUUCUCUAAGUGCCUGAAAUGUCGAUCAGCUCCUCUGCUCCUGUUACUUUGAGGUUAUUGAGGGAAAACAUUCCAAAAUAAUGUUUUUUUUUUUUUUUUUUUUUAAGUCGUGUUCGUGUUGAGCGUUGAUGUAAAGAAGGGAUCACUGUCGUUUCUAGAGUCGUAGCUAAGCACUGCUGCUGUUUAGAGUGUGUACCUGUCUAAUCAGCGGAGAUUUCUUCUCUGGACAAUCAGCAGCGAUGUGGUCGUCAGGCCCGCCUGCCUCCUAUAGCCUUAUUCUACUUUCUGCCAUGCUCACGUUGGAUUUAGUGGUUGCACCUACAGAAUAUAAAUCCAUAUAUGCACCUAUAAAGCCUUUACGUCUGUUGGUGUGGCUUGUUACAUACUGUAUGUUUGUGAAAGUGCUUCACUCGUGCUGCGUUGCCAUUUUCUCUCUCAGGUUCGUAAACUUUGUUUUUGCUGCACAUAUAUUUAUGCAAGGAGUUUAAAAAACUGCCUCUUAAUAAUGAAGUAUGUAGUUUGUGUUUUCCUCUGCAGCCUUCUGUCAGGCUCAAAUUAGUUCGGAGAUGCUUAUAGAGUAACUGUGAUUUUUUUGCUCUGCAGGGAACUCUUAUGCAAAACUGUUUUCACUUUAUAAAAGCUUUUAAUUUAAUCUCCUCUCACUUUGCCUUAUCUGGGGUCUUGUAAUACUGUUUGGCCUUAAUGUAGAGGCCCUUUUUUUUCUUUUUUUAUGUGUGUUGGAAGUUAUGCUAUGAAAUAAAGAAAAUAUUGAUUCUGAGAUUUCCAGUGAGUGUUUUGUUUAAUGA
rnacentral:lncRNA from 1 species